GACGAACGCUGGCGGCGUGCUUAACACAUGCAAGUCGAACGGAAAGGCCCUGCUUUUGUGGGGUGCUCGAGUGGCGAACGGGUGAGUAACACGUGAGUAACCUGCCCUUGACUUUGGGAUAACUUCAGGAAACUGGGGCUAAGACCGUAUAGGAUCUCCUGCUGCAUUGUGGGGGGUGGAAAGUUUCGGCGGUUGGGGCUGGACUCGCGGCUUAUCAGCUUGUUGGUGGGGUAGGGGCUUACCAAGGCUUUGACGGGUAGCCGGCCUGUGAGGGUGACCGGCCACCUUGGGCCUGAGAUACGGCCCAGACUCCUACGGGAGGCAGCAGUGGGGAAUAUUGCACAAUGGGCGGAAGCCUGAUGCAGCAACGCCGCGUGCGGGAUGACGGCCUUCGGGUUGUAAACCGCUUUAGCCUGUGACGAAGCGUGAGUGACGGUAAUGGGUGAAGAAGCACCGGCUAACUACGUG
rnacentral:rRNA from 1 species